UGGUAAUUGAAAUUGGUUUAUGAGCCAGUUAUUGUCAUUUGCAAGUAAAUCCUCGCAUUCCCUGAGUACAUGCUCAUGCCAGAUUGCACCAUUUGCAAGAUGUUUUAACAAUGCUAAUGUGGCCAUUGUUAGUGCCAUUUUACACAUCACUUUGCACAUGCUUUUAUAUCAUCCAUAUAAUUGC